CCUACGGGUGGCAGCAGUGAGGAAUAUUGGUCAAUGGACGAGAGUCUGAACCAGCCAAGUCGCGUGAAGGAUGACUGCCCUAUGGGUUGUAAACUUCUUUUAUAAAGGAAUAAAACGAGGCACGUGUGCCUUUUUGCAUGUACUUUAUGAAUAAGGAUCGGCUAACUCCGUGCCAGCAGCCGCGGUAAUACGGAGGAUCCAAGCGUUAUCCGGAUUUAUUGGGUUUAAAGGGAGCGUAGAUGGGUUGUUAAGUCAGUUGUGAAAGUCUGCGGCUCAACCGUAAAAUUGCAAUUGAUACUGGCAGUCUUGAGUACAGUUGAGGUAGGCGGAAUGCGUGGUGUAGCGGUGAAAUGCUUAGAUAUCACGAAGAACCCCGAUUGCGAAGGCAGCUUACUAAACUGUGACUGACAUUGAUGCGCGAAAGUGUGGGUAGCAAACAGGAUUAGAUACCCUUGUAGUC
rnacentral:rRNA from 1 species